rnacentral:misc_RNA from 1 species
AUUGUGUUGCCCCAUACAUGUAUUCGGGGCGGAGCUUGGCCUCCCGUGAGCCCAAACUCGCGGAUGGCUUAAAAACGAACCUCGAGACGGUUAGACGUCGCGACAAGUGGUGGUUACGAGGCCUUGUGCCUUUGAGCUUUGCGUGUCGCUGCCGUCGUCUGUCUCUCUCGAAAUUAAAACCCGAACGGAGCAUCCCCGAUGUUUCCAGCAUUGCGACCCCAGGUCAGGCGGGAAUACCCGCUGAGUUUAAGCAUAUCAAUAA